rnacentral:rRNA from 1 species
GAUGAACGCUGGCGGCGUGCCUAAUACAUGCAAGUCGAACGCUUCACUUCGGUGAAGAGUGGCGAACGGGUGAGUAAUACAUAAGUAACCUGGCAUCUACAGGGGGAUAACUGAUGGAAACGUCAGCUAAGACCGCAUAGGUGUAGGGAUCGCAUGAACUCUAUAUGAAAAGUGCUACGGGACUGGUAGAUGAUGGACUUAUGGCGCAUUAGCUUGUUGGUAGGGUAACGGCCUACCAAGGCGACGAUGCGUAGCCGACCUGAGAGGGUGACCGGCCACACUGGGACUGAGACACGGCCCAGACUCCUACGGGAGGCAGCAGUAGGGAAUUUUCGGCAAUGGGGGAAACCCUGACCGAGCAACGCCGCGUGAAGGAAGAAGUAAUUCGUUAUGUAAACUUCUGUCAUAGAGGAAGAACGGUGGAUAUAGGGAAUGAUAUCCAAGUGACGGUACUCUAUAAGAAAGCCACGGCUAACUACGUG